rnacentral:lncRNA from 1 species
ACUGAAUGAUAUUAUGUGAUACGAUAAUGAGUCUAUGUGCAUAUGUGAUUGGUUGUGUUGGUGAAUGAUGAGAAUAUGUUGUUAUGUGAAUAUGUAUAUUAGAUAGGGUAUUCUACACAUUUAAGGAAGGAUAUCAUAUGUGUGUGAAUAUACGUUAAAGAAAAGAUAUUAGAUGUGUGAUAUGUGUUUAAAAAAUUUUAUUCUACGUGUGGAUAAGAAUUUGAAAAAUGGUAUUCUAUGUGUAAGCAUGUGUAAUUAAUAUGAACACGAUAUCGCGUUUAUGAAAUUAUGAAUAAAUAACUUAUGAGAAUGUAGUUAUGUAAAUUAUGGACAUCCUUUGAAUGAAAUGAGGUAUAUAAAAAUGAAAACAUGUGAAUAGUAAUAUCGAUAUAGUUGUAGUAGGGUGUGGAUAUCAGAUGGUGAUGAAGGGCCUGAUAAGCUUGAGGUAAAGGUAAUGGUUCGAAUCAGUAUAUUAUCUAUGAUCUUCGGAUUGAAGUUUUAAAUUAUUCUUAUUGAGCAAGUGGUGGCUUACUCUUUUUUAUCAAUUUCAUAGCAGAAAGACCAAGACCAAGUUCAUGGUCAAGGAAGACUUAGAAGAAUCCUUUUAUGAAAAUGGGAAAUUAUUUGUAAAGUAGAUCUAAAAAUUUACUUUAGAAACGUCAUUAAAUAUUUU